rnacentral:lncRNA from 1 species
UUUCAUACAAAUCAACCAAUAUCUCUCUCUCUCACUCCCUCAUACAAAUCAAACUAUUAUUUCUCUGAAAUUGUAGCAUCAUAUAUUUCUCUGAAUCAAUUCCAUCAACAACCAUUAAAAGCUUCGACUAUUGACAAAUCCAUCAACAUUAUCUCUGAAAUUGUAGGUGGAGGGGUCUUCAAUUGACAUAUCAUUAAAAAGCUUCGAAGUUUUGAAUUAGAUAUUCAAAUUUUACAAAAUUGUGAUUUUUUUGGAUUGGUG